AACGAACGCUGGCGGCAUGCCUAACACAUGCAAGUCGAACGAUGGCUUUCGGACUAUAGUGGCGCACGUGUGUGUCACGUGUGGACCUCUGCUUUUGGGCUCGGUAACACAGUUGGAAACGUGUUCUUAUACCGGAAUAUCUUCAUACGACCAAAGAUUUAUCGCCCGAUGAUGGGCCCGCGUCGGAUUAGCUAGUUGGUGGGGUAAAGGCCUACCAAGGCGACGAUCCGUAGCUGGUCUGAGAGGAUGAUCAGCCACACUGGGACUGAGACACGGCCCAGACUCCUACGGGAAGCAGCAGUGGGGAAUAUUGGACAAUGGGCGCAAGCCUGAUCCAGCAAUGCCGCGUGAGUGAUGAAGGCCUUAGGGUUGUAAAGCUCUUUUACCCGGGAUGAUAAUGACAGUACCGGGAGAAUAAGCCCCGGCUAACUCCGUG
rnacentral:rRNA from 1 species